rnacentral:rRNA from 1 species
GACGAACGCUGGCGGCGUGCUUAACACAUGCAAGUCGAACGGUAAGGCCCUUCGGGGUACACGAGUGGCGAACGGGUGAGUAACACGUGGGUGAUCUGCCCUGCACUUCGGGAUAAGCCUGGGAAACUGGGUCUAAUACCGGAUAGGACUCCGGACUGCAUGGUCUGGGGUGGAAAGCUUUUGCGGUGUGGGAUGGGCCCGCGGCCUAUCAGCGUGUUGGUGGGGUGAUGGCCUACCAAGGCGACGACGGGUAGCCGGCCUGGCAGGGUGACCGGCCACACUGGGACGGGGAUACGGCCCAGACUCGUACGGGAGGCAGCAGGGGGGAAUAUUGCACAAUGGGCGCAAGCCUGAUGCAGCGACGCCGCGUGAGGGAUGACGGCCUUCGGGUUGUAAACCUCUUUCAGCAUCGACGAAGCGAAAGUGACGGUAGGUGCAGAAGAAGGACCGGCCAACUACGUGCCAGCCGCCGCCGUAA